UGGGGAAUUUUGCACAAUGGGGGAAACCCUGAUGCAGCGACGCCGCGUGAUUUAGAAGGCCUUCGGGUUGUAAAAAUCUUUUCUAUGGGAAGAAAAUGACAGUACCAUAGGAAUAAGGACCGGCUAAUUACGUGCCAGCAGCCGCGGUAAUACGUAAGGUCCGAGCGCUGUCCGGAAUCAUUGGGCGUAAAGGGUACGUAGGCGGGUAAGCAAGUUAGAAGUGAAAUCCUAUGGCUCAACUAUAGUAAGCUUUUAAAACUGCUCAUCUUGAGGUAUGGAAGGGAAAGUGGAAUUCCUAGUGUAGCGGUGAAAUGCGCAGAUAUUAGGAGGAAUACCGGUGGCGAAGGCGACUUUCUGGCCAUAACCUGACGCUGAGGUACGAAAGCGUGGGUAGCAAACAGG
rnacentral:rRNA from 1 species